rnacentral:lncRNA from 1 species
UGAGAAAUGGGCCACAUUUCUACCUCCUUGGCCAUGUGCUACCAGUGGCAGGGAUGACCCUCUUUAUGUUUUGGGGUGCUUAGGAGUAAAACUGCUUCUGUGUAAAGGGAACAUACCCAAACAUUCUCCAAAAGCACCUUUUCUGGUAUGAACAUCUUGCAGCUCUUGCAACAUGUCAAUCUCCUGUUAGCAUCCUUACUUACUUUCUGAAAGCCUCCAGGGAGCUGAGAACCUGUGCUCUCAUAAAAUACCACAGUCUAUUUCCCAUUUGCUUGUGUAGAUCUGCUCUUCUUCCUUCAGUUGAAGCAAGGUAGGGUCCUGCCAUAGACUACGACACAACAAAUCAUCCUACACAUCUUCCACUUGCAAAACUGUGAGAUUUUGUCAGCAGUCACUGAAGUUUCAGUCAUGUACCCUGCUAGCUCUUGACAGGGUGCAUGUGAGAAUGAGUGUUGGAAGUGACUGGGCAUGGAGAAACAAGCAACCUAAGAAAUACCCUCGAAGACUACUAAAUCCCUUAAAUAGAUUGAUCAAUCGAUAGGUAGGUAGGUAGGUAGAUAGAUAGAUAGAUAGAUAGAUAGAUAGAUAGAUAGAUAGAUAAAUAGAUAGAUCAAAGAGCUCCAUUGCACUGCUUAAGAGGAGGGGCCAGAGGGCUGGUAGAGUCUCAGGUUUGUGGUCAACAUUCUUGGUCCAACCUAAGCUGAUGAAAACUGCCAAUGGACUAUAUAGUUCUAAAGCUAUCUGAAAAAAAAAAAAAACAGAUCUGAUGCGAACAUGGAUCUUAUCCUGUUUUUCUACCAUCCAUCAGUUUUCAGAGUUGAUCCUGGGACACAGGGAUGCCAGAUGAAGUUCAGCAGCUGAAGCAAAGAGCCACUGCUUUGAAUGGCUAACAACAAUUUAUCUUGAGAAAUCUUACUUUCCCUAUCCUAAAUAUCCUAGGAAAUGGCUAAGUGAAUUGUGUUUCCCAUAGCCAGUAAUACUGUCCCAGUGAUGCUGUUCAAAAAAAAAAAAUACCACUAAUGAAGAAAAAAAAAUUGUGAAUGCUAUUGCGAGUACACUGGACUCUAAGCAAUGAAGACAUUUUAUUCAUAUAAAUUAAAGCAGAAUGGAAGUGGGCUGCUUUUAAUUCACAUUGUCCAUGAAAUUGCAGGACUGCGUUCGUCUCAAUUUUUCAUGCUCAUUGUCUCCAUUUUAAAAUGGUCAGCUUCAAUUGCCUGUUAUUGGCUCAAGUUGUUCAAUUUGUGACCAACAAUUAAGCAAGGGAACUUAAAUGUCAUUAUUUAGCAUGUGGUCUAAAAUGUCAUUUAGAAAAGCCAGCUGUCUUCAGAGAAUAUCUAACUUUUCCCCCUAAACGUCAGAUGGGGCUGUCUUUGGUAAUAAAGACUGUCGUGCUUAGGAAUUGGAAAAGAUUGUUUGGAGAUAUGAGAAAAACUAAACUUGAAGGGACCCAAUACCACAAAGUCAUUUAAAUGAUGGCAUGAAUUUAUAUCGGUUAUUUGCAGAAUCAGCUUGUCAGUCAGAGGAAGACAACUAAUGCAUCAGCACGUGCUGCCAGGGACAUUAGAACCCAAUACUGAUCACUCCUAAACUUCCUCCUAAACCCCACACACUUGAGAAUGGCUAAAAAAAGUAUGUCAGAAAUAUCUUAUUUUUAGAGUUGAAACCCUUUGUUUCCAACCACUAAACUCAAGUAAAAGCAAGACUUUACAUAAGAAUCUCUCAGCUUCGCAAUGAGCACAAUUUAAUAGUAUUCUGUCGCACACACCCAAGAGCAGGUGACUAUGGAGGAAAUCCUGGCCAUCAGCAAACUUUCAGUGUCACUCAGGUCAGGAUUAUGCAUAUAUGCUUUCUGUUUGUCCCUUGGAUUGUACAUGUCAACAACAAUAUUGACGGCUGCUUAGAGUUGACUUUAAGCAGGAUUUACUCAUGAUGGUCUGUUGUGGAAAAGGUUAUUAUUACCACUACAAGACUCAAUUAGCAAGAAUUUAAUUUACAAAAUAUUUCCUAAAGAAAACCAAUUUUACUCCUUGACAAAGAACAUACAAAGUAGUGUUGAAUGUACACAUAAGAGAAAACAAGUAAAAAAUGCCAGCAGUCAGUAGGCUUAUGCCAAGAAUCCCAUGAGCCUUUAUAUUAAAGGGACUUGCCAGUCCUGAAAAGGAAAGGCAACCUAAGAGACUACUCAUCCUUUCAGUCUUAUUUUUAAAAUAUUUUAAUGGUUCUGAAAGUCAGAUAUUUUAUUCUUAACAGCCCAAGACAUUUUCAACAAGAAAAUGAUUUUCAGUUUUCUAUUGAAUAGGAGUCAUAGGAGUGGUGUUUAAAUUAUGUAAAAUUCCAGAUUAGUAGAAUGCAAAUUAAAGAGGAAUUAUAAUAAAAUGGAAACAGACUG